rnacentral:rRNA from 1 species
CGUGUAGGCGGCCCGUUAAGUCGACUGUGAAAUCCUGGGGCUCAACCCCAGAACUGCAGUCGAUACUGGCGGGCUUGAGGAAGGUAGAGGAGAGUGGAAUUCCCGGUGUAGCGGUGGAAUGCGCAGAUAUCGGGAGGAACACCGAUGGCGAAGGCAGCUCUCUGGGCCUUACCUGACGCUGAGACGCGAAAGCAUGGGUAGCAAACA